GAUGAAGAACGUAGCAAAAUGCGAUAAGUAAUGUGAAUUGCAGAAUUCAGUGAAUCAUCGAAUCUUUGAACGCACAUUGCGCCCGCCAGUAUUCUGGCGGGCAUGCCUGUUCGAGCGUCAUUUCAACCCUCAAGCUCAGCUUGGUGUUGGGACUCGCGGUAACCCGCGUUCCCCAAAUCGAUUGGCGGUCACGUCGAGCUUCCAUAGCGUAGUAAUCAUACACCUCGUUACUGGUAAUCGUCGCGGCCACGCCGUAAAACCCCAACUUCUGAAUGUUGACCUCGGAUCAGGUAGGAAUACCCGCUGAACUUAAGCAUAUCAAUAAGCGGAUGA
rnacentral:misc_RNA from 1 species